CUGGUUGCUGGGGGUUGCCCACGUAAAAGUACCUUUUGGCAAAAUUAUUAAUCAUAUAUGUAACUGCCUUCAAACGUAGUGGUAUUUUUGUGUCCUCUGUAGGAUAUUAGUUCGUUGCAAAGUUGACUUCUAAGUAGCUACCUCACUGCCAGCAGUUACUGAUCAUGAAGUUGCCUCCGAGUUACGGGAUGAUGUGGCAGGUUAAAGCCCAGGAAACUGUGUGCACGUACAAAACAUAACACAA
rnacentral:lncRNA from 1 species